ensembl:lncRNA
AAUAAAGACUUUAACUGAUCAAGCACACACAUCCAUACAUAUGCAAUAAUACUAAGUGCAAUAAUCCUUUCUGUCAUCGUUGUAUUUUUACUCAGUUGUAUAUAUAUUUGUAUUUGUAUUCUAUUUUUAUCUUAUUGUAUAUUUAUUUUUAUUUUAUUCUACUGUAUAUAGUAUUUUAUUUUAUUCUAUUCUGUACAGUUGUGUACUGUAUUUAUUCUUAUUGUAUUCUAAUUUUUGCCUCAUAACUUUUGCACUGUCCACUUCCUGCUGUGACAAAACAAAUUUCCCACGUGUGGGACUAAUAAAGGUUAUCUUAUCUUAUCUUAUCUUAUCUUAUCUUAUCUUAUCUUAUCUUAGUGUCAAGUUCACAUGUCUUAGUAUGGGUCUCGGUGUUAGUUCCUGUUUUACGUUGAUAGUUCCUGUCUUGUGUGUAUUAUGUUCAGGUUUGCUUCAUCUGUCUCAUCAAUCGGAUUAGUGUCAACUGUGUUCCCACCUGUGUCCUGUUCCCUUCUUAUCCUCUCUGUGGCUGUAUCCCAAUUCAGGGUCUGCAGCCUUAAAGUACGCAGCCUCAACGAUCCUCAAGGGCCGCGUACUCAAAGGCCGGAAGUGCGAGGCUUGUGAAAUGGGACGGUCUAGCCUCUGUUGCGCUGCCCAGGUUGCCUAGCAACCAUGAUACUAACAACUGGAAACGUGUCAUACAGCUUUGCUUGACAGAAAUGAAGGAGAAAAUCUUUUGUUCAUUUGUUGGUUUCUUUCUACAUGAGCUUUGAUCAUUCUCUGUAAGAUUAAGCUCAGCUAUUGAACGGCGUAUAUUUUAAAGUAAAGGCUUUAAAACCAAGUUAGUACAAACGUCACUUAUGUCACAUAACUUUGCCGACAUGUGGCCAACAGUAAUGUUUUAAUGUUCUUCGUUAUUAAACAUUUGCACAUAAAUAAGUGACAUAAUAUUCAGUACUUACUUAAAGUGUACUCUUCGGGCGCCCCUCAUCCGCCGUUUUUUUUCGGCAAAAUUAUCCACACCCACCGCCACGCUAUGCAUUCUGGGAUAUGUUGGGCCACGAAGUCUACACUGCCACAGCCUUAAAAUUCAGGGAAAUGAAGGACGCAUUUCAGGGCCGCAUUUCGAGCAGCCUUUGAA